UAAGGAAUAUUGGGCAAUGGUCGGAAGACUGACCCAGCCAUGCCGCGUGCAGGAAGACGGCCCUAUGGGUUGUAAACUGCUUUUGUUGGGGAAUAAACCUAUCUACGUGUAGAUAGCUGAAGGUACCUGGCAAAUAAGCAUCGGCUAACUCCGUGCCGGCAGCCGCGGUAAUACGGAGGAUGCAAGCGUUAUCCGGAUUCACUGGGUUUAAAGGGUGCGCAGGCGGGAUAAUAAGUCAGUGGUGAAAUCCUGCAGCUUAACUGUAGAACUGCCAUUGAUACUGUUGUUCUUGAGUGCAGAUGAGGUAGGCGGAAUGAGUAGUGUAGCGGUGAAAUGCUUAGAUAUUACUCAGAACACCGAUUGCGAAGGCAGCUUACUAAACUGUAACUGACACUGAUGCACGAAAGCGUGGGGAUCGAACA
rnacentral:rRNA from 1 species